GGGGAGGUCUAGAAUUUAGACGUAAGAGAACGAAUCAAAAAGUUGGCAACUUUCAUUGAUAAACUAUAAUAUAAACAUUAUUCUAUAUCGAAAUCAAUAAAAUUAUCAUUUCCCUUAAUAAAAAAAUCUUAUAUAUCUUAUAUAUCUUACUCGCCUAGUCUCUCGGAAAGACUUUGUCGUUUAUUCAUGAAUUUUACAUAAAUCCAUAAACAAACGUGUAUCCCAGACAAUGGCAUGAACGUAAACAGUAGCAUACAAAUCAAUAAUUGUAAUUUACUUACUUAAUUACGCGAGGAUAAAUGAAUAAACAUAGCAUCGAUUUUAAUUAAAUGUAUAUAAAUAGUUACAUCUUUUUAAUUUUUCCUCAAAUACUACGAUGUAAUGCUGCGUGUUAUACGAAAUCGAUAUACAAGCGAUAAGCGAUUAAAAUUUACAUGAUUUAAAAGUUGUACAAAUUGUGAGUUGCCAUACAUUUUAUGAUUCACUGAACCAGUUGCGUGAAUAUGAUAGAAAUGAUGGAAGACAUGGAUAAUUUGGAUGAUAAACUACUUAGUAAUAUAUUUAAGAGAAAUCCAUCUAUGGAAGAUGCCAAAAAAAGGAUUACAUUUGCAGAUGAGGACGAUCCAUUAGCUGAUUUGUUAGCUGAUAAAGAUUUUUCAUCAGACCGAAAGAAUCUAGUAGCAGUAAAAGAUAAGAGUAUAAUAGAUGAUUUGUUUAAUAAAAAGGUUUCCAAUGAGUCAUUAAGUUUAAAGCCAAGUGAAAAAGAGAAUAACUUGACAUCUGUAUUAAGUACUACUGGAAUGGAUAAGUCAAAAGCAAUAGAUGAAAAAGCUAAAAAACUGUCAUUGAUGCAAGAUUUAUUUGGAAAUACAUUGCACAUGUCACCAUCAAAAGAAUCAAAUGUUAGUAAAAAAUCUGUACAGAUUGAACAAGGAAUUACACAGCAUGCAACUGAAGGACCUAGGAUACAAUCACAGCACUCAACUUAUGCACCAACAGCCUUUGGAACAAGAGAGCCACGUCGAGGCAAAAGAACCUCAGAAAUUAUUAAUGACCCUUUAGGAUUAUUUUCUUUGAACACAAUGUCAAGUCAAAUUGAAAAACCUGAAGAAAGACAUACAGUGUCUGCAGACUCAAGUAAACAAAAAAUUGAAACUAAACAAUAUUUACCAGAUUGGUUGGAACCUAAAAAGACAACAGAAGAUAAAAAUAGCGAUUAUAUUCAAGAUAAAAUAAUGCCUGAAGAAUUAUUUAGCAGACAUAGAAGUUCUGAUAAGAUUGUUCAAGAAGAUGAGACAAGAGUAGCUGAAUCACUGCCACAUGAGAAAAAAGAAUUGACAUCAUCAGAUAAUAAAAAAAUUGAAAUGAAUGAAUAUGAAAAACGAAAAACUGAAGAUUAUCAUAAAUCUAAUGCAAUAGAUAAUGCUCCUGAUGGUGAUAAAAAUUCGGAGAAUAUAUUUGAUAAUUUAAUUCAUAAAGGUGCAGAUUAUGAAAACAUGAUUUAUAAAUUAGAGUUAGAAAAGUCUCAUUUAACUGUAACAAUACGUAGUUUAAAUGAAAAAUAUGAAAAUGAAAUAAUGAUUCUAGACGAAUCAUACAAACGGCAAAUAGGAUUUCUACAAGAAAGAACAGAUACAUUGGAAAAGAGAAUGCAACAGGAGCUUGAAUGUUUAGAGACGGAUUAUGAAGCAAAAAUUGAAAAAUUAAAAAAUGAAAAGAUGCAAAUUGAAACAUUUUAUAAGGAAGAAAUUCAGAAUUUAAAGAAGGAGCAUGCGCAAUUUAUAGAAGAAAUUUACGAACGACAUUCUCAAAAUACAAGAUUGUUGCAAAAAGAACACUUUGAUACAAUAGAGAAUAUAUUAAAAAUGAGAGAGAUAGAGAAUUUGGCUAUGACGACCAUAGCAACUCACAAGACUGAUAUGCAGAAUUUAUUACAAAAAGCUAACUUUAUUAUAGAAAAUAUAAAAACUGUACAAGAAAAGACUGAUCAUAGAGACGACCAAAGUGUAAAGUUAAGAGAAUAUUAUUUAAAAAGUCAGGAAGAAGAUAUGCAAAUACAAAAUGUAGAAAUAAAGAAGCAACAGGAGUUAUUGAUGGAAGAACGUGACAAAAUAAUGAAAGUAGCAGAUAGAUUAGAUUCGCAUGUUGCUCAAUUGGUGCUUGAAUUAGAGAAGAAAAGUACUAUGCUUAAUGAGGCAUUGGAAACUCUAAAAAAAAGAGAACAAUCUCUGUCACAUGAAAGAGAAUUAUUUGAAGAAAAAGUACAAUGGGAAUAUAAUCAUCUACAGGCUUUAAAAGAAUCUUGGUUUAAUGAACAAGAAAAACAAUUGAAGCUGUUAACAAAGGAAAAAGAAGUAAUUGCAGCUAAAAAGAGGCAAUAUGAAGUUUUAAAGACAAUAAAAACUGAUUCGGAUAAUAUUACAAAGAUAGAGGCAGCUGCUGCUAUAAAAACAGCUCAAGACGCUACUAUACUUGCGAAUCAAGAACGAUUGAAAUGGCAAGAAAAAAUCAAAUAUCUUGAAAUGCAGCAGCAAACAUUACAAGAGAAAGAAUACCGGCUGUUAGCACGUGCGAAAGAUAUUGAAAAGUUUACACAGCAUUUACGAAAAAUGAAGAAGCUGUCAAAGCCUUAAAAGAAGCUCAUAACAUUGAAAAUGAAUAUAAAACUAAAUUUGAUUCUAAUUCUGGUAUAUUUGAAAAACUCGAUUUAACAAGUGAAAAGUUGGCUUUGACAACUGCUCAAUUACAGAAAUUAAAAAAAAA
rnacentral:misc_RNA from 1 species